GUGGGAGCGAGCUUGCUCGCGAAGGCGAUUGCGCAUUCAACAUUUUGAUUGCCUGACACGCCACAUUCGCGAGCAAGCUCGCUCCCAC
rnacentral:antisense_RNA from 1 species